AAUGAUCAAACACCCCACCAUGAACGCGCCCAGUCCCGUCUGAUCUCGGAAGCUAAGCAGGGUUAGGCCUGGUUAGUACUUGGAUGGGAGACUACGCACUAUUUUAUAAGGUUAAUCUCUU
rnacentral:rRNA from 1 species